ACGGGUGAGUAACACGUGGAUAACCUACCUAUAAGACUGGGAUAACUUCGGGAAACCGGAGCUAAUACCGGAUAAUAUAUUGAACCGCAUGGUUCAAUAGUGAAAGACGGUUUUGCUGUCACUUAUAGAUGGAUCCGCGCUGCAUUAGCUAGUUGGUAAGGUAACGGCUUACCAAGGCAACGAUGCGUAGCCGACCUGAGAGGGUGAUCGGCCACACUGGAACUGAGACACGGUCCAGACUCCUACGGGAGGCAGCAGUU
rnacentral:rRNA from 1 species